rnacentral:ncRNA from 2 species
AAGGUCGUCCGUGGUCGGAUUUGUGCCGCUUGCCGCCACGUUAAACAGUGCGCUAAGUGGGCUUGGUGGUGCGCUGU